rnacentral:rRNA from 1 species
UGGGGAAUAUUGGACAAUGGGCGAAAGCCUGAUCCAGCCAUGCCGCGUGUGUGAAGAAGGUCUUCGGAUUGUAAAGCACUUUAAGUUGGGAGGAAGGGCAUUAACCUAAUACGUUAGUGUUUUGACGUUACCGACAGAAUAAGCACCGGCUAACUCUGUGCCAGCAGCCGCGGUAAUACAGAGGGUGCAAGCGUUAAUCGGAAUUACUGGGCGUAAAGCGCGCGUAGGUGGGUUGUUAAGUUGGAUGUUAAAUCCCCGGGCUCAACCUGGGAACUGCAUUCAAAACUGACUGACUAGAGUAUGGUAGAGGGUGGUGGAAUUUCCUGUGUAGCGGUGAAAUGCGUAGAUAUAGGAAGGAACACCAGUGGCGAAGGCGACCACCUGGACUAAUACUGACACUGAGUUGCGAAAGCGUGGGGAGCAAACA